UACGUAGGGUGCAAGCGUUAAUCGGAAUACUGGGCGUAAAGCGUGCGCAGGCGGUUAUAUAAGACAGUUGUGAAAUCCCCGGGCUCAACCUGGGAACUGCAUCUGUGACUGUAUAGCUAGAGUACGGUAGAGGGGAUGGAAUUCCGCGUGUAGCAGUGAAAUGCGUAGAUAUGCGGAGGAACACCGAUGGCGAAGGCAAUCCCCUGGACCUGUACUGACGCUCAUGCACGAAAGCGUGGGGAGCAAACAGG
rnacentral:rRNA from 1 species